UCCUUUGUAAGGUUCAUAAGAUUGUGUAUUUAUCAUCUAACCUAUUCAUACGAUCACACAAAUAACUGGUUGGGUUUCUCACUCUCUCCUCACAUGAACAUGGAUGCAUCUACAAACCCACAUCAGCAUCAUCAUCAUUACCACCAUCGUCAGCAACAUCAUCAUCAUUAUCAUCAAACACAAGCUGCAGCUACUGUUUCUCCUGCAGUUCCAACCAGCUUCUUUCUAGUUCCUCAGGUGGAAACAUAAGGUGGGGCCCUUUACUCCCAGUUGUCUGUAAUGCCACUGAAAUCUAAUGGCUCCCUUUGUAUCAUGGAAGCUCUUACAAGAUCACAGCAAGGUGAAGGAGUGAUGCCAGCUUCCUCUCCCAAGCUUGAAGAUUUCCUGGGUGGUGCAACCAUGGGAGCCCACCAGUACGGAUCCAUUAACAGGGAAGCUAUGUCUCUAAGCUUGGACAACAUGUAUUAUCAACACAAGCCACAAGCUGAAAACAGCAGGUAGCAACAUUCCCUAGGCCUUCUCGAGCCCUUCAGGCAACUAAUUCAAGCCCAACAGCAGCAGCAGCAGCAACAAUACUUUCAGCCACUACAGGAAGGGUUGUGCACAGGAUUAACAGCUCAUGACAUGUACCAGACUGCCUUGGAAGUGGCGCUGAAGGAAGAGAUUUUCGUCCCUCUCAUACGGACACAAUGUCCACAUCACUGCAGUGGAUCAUGGCGAACCUAGUGAAGCAUCAGGAUGUGCAGGCCAAGCUGGUGGAAGAGAUCGAUCGGGUUGUGGGGGGAUGGGUGAGAAGACAUUAAAGAGGAGGAUUUGUAGCGGAUGUCAUAUCCAAAGGUAGUGAUUAUUCUAGAAAAGUGCAAGGAAUUGUUGGAUUUUAGAAGCUUGGAAAUGAAAUGUUGUAUUGAAAUUGGAAAUUGAAAUUGAAAUUGAAAUGUGUACUAGAAAAGAAGGAAAAGAUUAUUAUGUGUGUGAAUCUUUCUAUUGUCUUUUUCUUCUAUUUGUGUAAUUAUCUGGCAUAUAAUACAAGUAGAUUACAUA